rnacentral:lncRNA from 10 species
AUGGCAGAGAAAUUUCAAAGUUUCAUGAACAUUCAUGGUUUUGAUCUGGGCUCUAGGUAUAUAGACUUAAAACCAUUGAGUUGUAGAGGCAAUGGCUUGGUUUUUUCUGCUGUAGACAAUGACUGUGACAAAAGAGUGGCCAUCAAGAAAAUUGUCCUUACUGAUCCCCAGAGUGUCAACAUGCUCUACAUGAUAUCAAAAUUAUUAGAAGACUUGACCAUAAUAACACUGUGAAAGUGUCUGAAAUUCUUGGUCCCAGUGGAAGCUAAUUAACAUACAAUGUGGGCUCUCUUACAGAGCUGAACAGUGUUUACAUUGCUCAGGAGUACAUGGAGACAGACUUGGCUAAUGUGCUGGAGCAGGGCCCUUUACUGGAAGAGUGUGCCAGGCUUUUCAUGUAUCAGCUGAUACUGGGGCUCAAGUAUAUUCACUCUGCAAAUGUACUGCACAGAGAUCCCAAACCAGCUAUUCUUUUCAUUAAUACUGAAAACUUGGUGCUGAAGAUAGGUGACUUUAGUCUUGCACGGAUCAUGGAUCCUCAUUAUUCCCAUAAGCAUCAUCUUUCUGAAGGAUUGAUUACUAAAUGAUACAGAUCUCCACAUCAUUUACUUUCUCAUAAUAAUUAUACUAAAGCCAUUGACAUGUGGGCUGCAGGCUGCAUCUUUUCGAAAUGCUGACUGGUAAAAUCCUUUUUGCAGGUGCACAUGAACUUGAACAGAUGCAGCUGAUUUUAGAAUCUAGUCCUGUUGUACAUGAGAAAGAUUGUCAGGAGCUUCUCAGCAUAACUCCAGUUUACAUUAGAAAAGACAAGACUGAGCCAAACAAACCUUUAACUCAGCUGCUUCCAGGAAUUAGUUGAGAAGCACUGGGCUUCCUGAAACAAAUUUUGACAUUUAGCCCCAUGGGUCAGUUAACAGCAGAAGCGCUCUCCUGUCCUUACAUGAGCUCAUAUGUUCUUUUCCAAUGGAUGAGCUAAUUUCAAGUCAUCCCUUUCAUGUUGAAGAUAAAGUUGAUGAUGUUUUACUUAUGGAUGAAACUCACAGUCACAUUUAUAACUGGGAAAGGUACCGUAAUUGUCAGUUUUCAGAACAUGAUUGGCCUAUACAUAACAACUUUGAUAUUGAUUAAGUUCAGCUUGAUCCAAGAUCUCUGUUUUAUGUCACUGAUGAAGAAGUACAAUUUGAUCCCUGAAAAUAUUUGAAUGGAGAUCGGGAAAAGUAUCUGGAGGAUCCUGCUUUUGAUAUCAAUUAUUCUACUGAGCCUUGUGAGCCAGAUCAUCAUGAAAACAAAUACUGUCAUCUGGAGUGUAGCCAUGUUUGUAACUACAAAAUGAGGUCAUCAUCAUAUUUAGAUAACUUAGUUUGGAGAGAGUGAAGUUAACCAUUACUAUGAAGCCAGGCUUAUUAUAGAUCUUUCCAACUGGAAAGAACAAAGCAAAGAAAAAAUCUGAUAAGAAAGGCAAAUCGGAAUGUGAAAGGAAUGGAUUGGUUAAAGCCCAGAUAGCACUAGAGGAAGCAUCAAAGCAACUGGCUGGAAAAGAAAAAGAAAAGAAUCAGUGAUUUGACUUUGAUUCCAUUAUUGCAGGAACCAUUCAACUUAGUUCCCAAAAUGAGCCUACUGAUGUUGUUGAUAAAUUAAAUGACUUGAAUAGCUCGGUGUCCCAACUAGAACUGAAAAGUUUGAUAUCAAAGUCAGUAAGCCAAGAAAAACAGGAAAAAGGAAUGACAAAUCUGGCUCAAUUAGAAGCCUCGUACCAAUCAUCUUGGGACAGCCAGUUUGUGAGUGGUGGGGAGGACUGUUUUCUCAUAAAUCAGUUUUGUUGUGAGGUAAGGAAGGAUGAACAAGUUGAGAAGGAAAACUGUUAGACCAGUUACUUGGACAAGUUCUUUAGCAGGAAAGAAGAUCCUGAAAUGCUAGAAACUGAGCCAGUAGAGGAUGGGAAGCUUGGGGAGAGAGGAAAUGAGGAAGGAUUUCUGAACAACAGUGGGGAGUUCCUCUCUAACAAGCAGCUCGAGUCCAUAGGCAUCCCGCAGUUUCACAGUCCAGUUGGGUCACCACUUAAGUCAACACAGGCCACAGGAACACCUUCCGCUGUGAAAUCUUCCCCUCAAAUUCCUCAUCAAACAUACAGCAGCAUUCUGAAACAUCUGAGCUAA